rnacentral:ncRNA from 2 species
AUAAUUUACUAUCUCCGAGCCGAACCACCUAAAGAGUAAAUUAUGGUAUUUCGGCCAGGGUUUUAGCCCUCGGGCAUGUCUGGAAACGGAUCUGCCUUCACUAUUGAAAAGGAGGUGGCGGGCCUGCAAA